UACGUAGGGGGCAAGCGUUGUCCGGAUUUAUUGGGCGUAAAGAGCGUGUAGGCGGCCUGGAAGGUCAGCUGUGAAAACUCGAGGCUCAACCUCGAGACGUCGGUUGAAACCACCUGGCUAGAGUCCGGAAGAGGAGAGUGGAAUUCCCGGUGUAGCGGUGAAAUGCGCAGAUAUCGGGAAGAACACCCGUGGUGAAGGCGGCUCUCUGGGACGGUACUGACGCUGAGACGCGAAAGCGUGGGGAGCAAACAGG
rnacentral:rRNA from 1 species